CAUUAAGUGGCUGAAAUUAUAAGCAUUGGUCUCUUAAACCAAAUUAUAGUAUUUAAUAUAUACUCUUAAUG
rnacentral:tRNA from 1 species